GUUCGUGGUGAAGAAGACUGUGGGUGAGGACGGCAAGAUCUUCGGCAGCGUCACCACGCAGGACGUCGUCGACGCGGUGAAGCAGCAGACCAGCAAGGAGCUCGACAAGAAGGCCAUGACCGUGCCGGAUAUCAGCGAAGUGGGCACCUACGAGGUCACCGUCAAGCUCCACCCCGAGGUGACCGGCAAGUUCAACCUCGAGGUCCAGAAGGCGUAAUUGUUUGCAGACGAUGUAGCGCGCAGCGGGAGAUUUAGAGUUGACCAUUUUUUGGAUGGCGAUGGGACGGAUCGCUUGUUAGAGGGGGGGGAGGAGCAGAGCUCCGUGUCGCCAC
rnacentral:lncRNA from 1 species